rnacentral:rRNA from 1 species
AGUGAACGCUGGCGGUAGGCCUAACACAUGCCAGUCGAACGGCAGCACAGUAAGAGCUUGCUCUUACGGGUGGCGAGUGGCGGACGGGUGAGGAAUACAUCGGAAUCUACUUUUUCGUGGGGGAUAACGUAGGGAAACUUACGCUAAUACCGCAUACGACCUACGGGUGAAAGCAGGGGAUCUUCGGACCUUGCGCGAUUGAAUGAGCCGAUGUCGGAUUAGCUAGUUGGCGGGGUAAAGGCCCACCAAGGCGACGAUCCGUAGCUGGUCUGAGAGGAUGAUCAGCCACACUGGAACUGAGACACGGUCCAGACUCCUACGGGAGGCAGCAGUGGGGAAUAUUGGACAAUGGGCGCAAGCCUGAUCCAGCCAUACCGCGUGGUGAAGAAGGCCUUCGGGUUGUAAAGCCCUUUUGUUGGGAAAGAAAAGCAGCAGGUUAAUACCCCGCUGUUCUGACGGUACCCAAAGAAUAAGCACCGGCUAACUUCGUG